rnacentral:rRNA from 1 species
UACCAGCUCUCCGAGUGGUAGGGAUGAUUAUUGGGCUUAAAGCGUCCGUAGCCGGCUUAGCAAGUCUCCUGUUAAAUUCAGCGACCUAAUCGUUGAGCCGCGGGAGAUACUAUUAGGCUAGGAGGCGGGAGAGGUCGACGGUACUUCUGGGGUAGGGGUGAAAUCCUAUAAUCCCGGGAGGACCACCAGUGGCGAAGGCUGUCGACUAGAACGCGCUCGACGGUGAGGGACGAAAGCUGGGGGAGCGAACCGGAUUAGAUACCCGGGUAGUCCCAGCUGUAAACGAUGCGGGCUAGGUGUUGGGGUGGCUACGUGCCACUUCAGUGCCGCAGGGAAGCCAUUAAGCCCGCCGCCUGGGGAGUACGGCCGCAAGGCUGUAACUUAAAGGAAUUGGCGGGGGAGCACCACAAGGCGUGAAGCUUGCGGUUC